rnacentral:misc_RNA from 1 species
GUAGGUGAACCUGCGGAAGGAUCAUUAUAAAAUUUUCAUAUAUUAAUUUAUUUUUAAUAUAUAAAAUUAUAUACAAAAUGUAUUCAAAACCCACACUCUUUAUAACCAAAAAAAAAUAAUAUAUAUUUUUAAUAUAUAUAUAAAAAAACAACUUUCAACAACGGAUCUCUUGGCUCUC